UUGAAUAGCAGAAAUUUUUCCAGCCAUCAAAUUUCUUUUUCUUUAGAAAUUUUGAAGUUUCUGACAUACUCUUUGUAAGAAUUUCAAAAUUCUCAUCAGUGGAACAUUGACAGUAUGUAAUUUCAGCAUAUUUUCUUCUCUUUACUGCCACAGUACAUUCGUUAUCCCACCAAGGAGGAGAAGGAAUAAAACCCAAAGAGCUAUUUUUACUUGGAAAUAUCUCAUUGGCAACCUCAAUAAAGAUUCUUGCUAAAGAAUCUGCACACUGAGAUUCUGUACCUGGAUUAAUUUUUGGAAGUGUUGGAAAUGAUAAUAAUAGUGGGAAGUGAUCACUACCAAAAGUAGAUCGUAAUGGAUCCCAGGACAAAGAAGAAGCAAGAUUAGGUGUAGUGACUGUUAAAUCUGGAGCACUUGGGCCCUCGUCAGGAUGAGAACGUCGUGUAGGACGACCAUCAUUUAAUAUACACAAAUUCACUGAAUCAAAUAUAUCUAUUAAUGUGUUACCAUAACUAUUAGAAGAUAAGUAACCCCAGGAUUCAUGGCGACAGUUAAAAUCACCAAGGAUCAUAAAAGGCUUCGGAAGAAUGGAAAUAAUAUCUUUAAUUUCAUUUAAGAUUGCAGAAGAAGGAUGAGGUAUAUAAAUAGAUACAUAACAGAUAUUUUCAACUAAAGCAGCAAUAAUAGAAAAAUCAUUACUGUGAGAAGGAAUAGAGAAGAGAGAAAAGGAAAGAGGGUGUUUCACAAGCAUGGCUACUCCGCCAUGCCCAUCCACACGAUCUUCUCUGAGACAUGAAUAGCCACGAAUCUUAAAUAAAGAUCCUGGUUUCAACCAUGUCUCUUGAAGAGCACAGAUAUAAGGUUUAUAUUUAUUUAAUAAAUAAAUAAGAUCACUUUUUUUAGGAGUGAUGCUUUGACAAUUCCAUUGAAGAACUUUGUCCAUUAUUUGGUUUAUAAAUUUGAGUAAUUGCAGAAACUAAUAAGGCAGCGUUGGACGGUGAAAAUUCAUUCGAUUGACUAAGAGAUUUUAUAAGAGAAAUAAUUAAAUCAAUUACUGAGGAUUCCAAA